CCUGGACAGAUUUUGGAGAUCCGCGAGUUAUUUCCAGCGCAUCUAUUCUCGGAGCGUUCACCCUCUCAGCGUGGGAGAACCUGCUCGCAUCUUAGACCGGUCUCACAGAUCUUUCUUCUUCAUCAGGGAUGAAGAAAUUAAUGUGUGCUCGCCUAUAUGUUUGAUUCCUAGAGAGACUUACGGCAACUGAGAAAAUGCACGGAAGAAAAACAGUUCCGUUGGUGUAACUGAAUUUUCUGUUACUUCUAGGACCAGAUGAAAACCAGAUUCUUUGCAGGAGUUACCCAAACUCAAAUCUUUCUUCCGUGCGCGACGUGGACCUGAGAGACGUGGCCAUCGCUGCGAGGCUCUGACUUAGAAGACGAAGGGAACUCACGGACGCUGGGAUCAGAGUGUCGCUGUUGGAAUACAAGAACAGCUGAGGCCAGGAGUAGGCUUCCUCGGCGAGGGCGAUCGGGUUCGUCUGGAUGGGAGUUCUGCUGAACGCCUGCGCGAUCACCUAAUGAACAAGAAUCGACAUAUGAGUUGACAGAGUCCAAAACAAUGAGCAGAGCAACAAGUCUACAACGAACACUUGCAGUUAAAAGAAGAAAAGAAAUUAAUUUCCAAUCGCGACGAUCAGGAAGCCGUGAUUUCCCGGCAGCAUUGACUGACGUGCGCUUAUCGAGCAUGCAAGCCGUUUACCUCGA